GACGAACGCUGGCGGCGCGCCUAACACAUGCAAGUCGAACGGAGCGUACUGUGUGAAGCCCUUCGGGGUGGAACUUUGUAUUGCUUAGUGGCGAACGGGUGAGUAACACGUGAGCAACCUGCCCUAGAGUGGGGGACAACAUUUGGAAACGAAUGCUAAUACCGCAUAAGACCACGGUGUCACAUGACACAGCGGCCAAAGGAUUUAUUCGCUUUAGGAUGGGCUCGCGUCUGAUUAGCUAGAUGGUGGGGUAACGGCUCACCAUGGCGACGAUCAGUAGCCGGACUGAGAGGUCGAUCGGCCACAUUGGGACUGAGAUACGGCCCAGACUCCUACGGGAGGCAGCAGUGGGGAAUAUUGGGCAAUGGGCGAAAGCCUGACCCAGCGACGCCGCGUGGAGGAAGAAGGUUUUCGGAUUGUAAAGAUCUUUAAUCAGGGACGAAGGAAGUGACGGUACCUGAAGAAUAAGCUCCGGCUAACUACGUGCCAGCCGCCGCGGUAAAAC
rnacentral:rRNA from 1 species